AAGAAAUAAAAAAAGGAGUGAACUUUGUUGCUCUUUACACUAAAAAAGACCUUAUCUUUCCCUUCAAUUUCUCUCUGUGAGUUUCUCUAACAUGCACUCAAUCCCAUUACCAGCUGUGAUGCAUCCUCUCUCUCUCUCAGCUUCUUCUCGCUUUCUCUCUCAAAAACUUUUAAUUCCAAGUUCCUUUUUUUCAAAUUUCAAAACAACCCACCAAAGAUUUGACAAAAAUUUCACUAAAGUCCCUAUCAUUAUCAGAAAUUGCACUAGCCCUCCAGUCUCUGCAAAACCAUCUUCACAAAUUAGAUGGAGCCGUGCAAAAAAGUCGGAACCGGAUGAGAAGCUUCAAGCUCUACGUGAGUUGUUUUCUAAGCCUGGGAUUGGUAUUGAUGCUUAUAUUAUACCUUCUCAGGAUGCUCACCAAAGUGAAUUCAUUGCUGAAUGUUAUAUGCGGAGGACGUAUAUAUCAGGGUUCACUGGUAGUGCCGGCACUGCUGUUGUCACAAAGGAGAAAGCAGCACUUUGGACAGAUGGUCGAUAUUUUCUCCAGGCUGAGAAGCAAUUGAAUUCUAAUUGGAUUCUCAUGCGGGCUGGUAAUCCUGGAGUCCCGACAACAAGCGAAUGGCUUAAUGAUGUUUUGGCUCCUGGGGCCAAAGUUGGUGUUGAUCCUUUUCUUUUCUCUUUUGAUGCUGCCGAGGAAUUGAAAGAAGCUAUAGCUAAGAAAAAUCACAAAUUGGUUUACCUGUACAAUCCAAAUCUCGUGGAUGAAAUAUGGAAGGGAUCAAGGCCAAUGCCUCCAAACAAACCAAUAAGAAUACAUGAACUAAAAUAUGCUGGUGUGGAUGUUGCAUCAAAGUUGUCUUUCCUGAGGUCCGAGCUCCUUGAUACUUGUUCAUCUGCAAUCAUUGUUUCCAUGCUUGAUGAAAUUGCCUGGUUGCUGAAUUUGAGAGGAGGCGAUGUUCCUCAUUCACCUGUUAUGUAUGCAUACUUAAUCGUAGAGGUUGAUGGAGCCAAAUUAUUUGUGGAUAACUCUAAAGUCACGCCAGAAGUGUUGAAUCAUCUGAAGAAUGCAGGUGUUGAAUUGAAGCCAUAUGACACCAUCCUUUCUGAGAUAGAAAGUUUGGCUGCAAAAGGGGCUGAACUUUGGUUUGAUACGUCUUCAGUUAAUGCUGCUAUAGUCAACACAUAUAAGUCUGCCUGUGAUAGGCAUUUUGAAAUCCAUGCAAGUGAUCGUAAAGGUAACUUACAUAAUGGUUCCAAUAAUCAAUCUUGGGGACCUUCUGGAGUUUACAGGGCUUCACCCAUCUCUCUAGCAAAAGCUGUGAAAAAUCCUGCUGAGUUAGAAGGCAUGCACAAUUCUCACUUAAGGGAUGCAGCUGCUCUAGCAGAGUUUUGGGUCUGGCUGGAAGGGGAAAUUGACAAGGAUGUGAAACUAACGGAGGUAGAUGUCGCAGACAGACUUCUUGAAUUCCGUUCAAAGCAGGCUGGUUUCAUUGAUACUAGCUUUGAUACAAUAAGUGGUUCUGGAGCAAAUGGUGCUAUCAUACACUACAAACCUGAACCAGAGAGUUGUAGUGUUGUGGAUCCAAAAAAGCUCUUUUUAUUAGAUAGCGGAGCUCAAUAUGUUGACGGAACAACUGACAUAACAAGGACAGUUCACUUUGGGGAACCUACUGCACGAGAAAAGGAAUGCUUCACUCGGGUUUUGCAGGGUCAUAUAGCUCUGGAUCAGGCAGUAUUCCCCGAAAAUACCCCUGGUUUUGUAUUGGACGCAUUUGCCCGUUCAUCUCUUUGGAAGAUAGGGCUUGAUUACCGGCAUGGUACUGGGCAUGGUGUGGGAGCAGCAUUAAAUGUUCAUGAAGGUCCUCAAAGUAUUAGCUUUCGAUUUGGAAAUAUGACUCCCUUGCAGAAAGGAAUGAUAGUAAGCAAUGAACCAGGGUACUAUGAAGAUCAUGCUUUUGGCAUUCGAAUUGAGAAUCUCCUUUGCGUUAAACAGGUUGACACCCCAAACCGCUAUGGAGGAAUAGAGUAUUUGGGAUUUGAAAAACUCACUUACGUCCCCAUCCAGACUAAGUUAGUAGACUUGUCCUUGCUCUCUGUUGCGGAGGUUGAUUGGCUCAAUAAUUACCAUGCGCAAGUUUGGGAAAAGGUUUCACUGCUGCUGGAUGGUUCUGCUCGUGAAUGGCUUUGGAAUAACACACGACCGCUUGUCAAACAGUGAUCCUGUCGUGUCCAUCCAUUGUUUCUUUUGGAUUGCUGAGUGAUGAGCUAUCUGUACAUGUAAUAUAAGCUGGUGGUAAAGUAUAGUAAAUGGUUGCAUUCAGCAGAAGGCUUAUUUGAGGAUUCAAGGAAAACUAUUCCUGUUUGUGUGAAAAGCUUAGGAAAUGGCUGAUACAUACAAUUGUUGGCAUUAUUCAACACAGGGCUUGAUUGCUAAAAAACUCAUGUUUCCCAUCUUUUGGGCCAAAGCCUAAGGGUCUCAAUGUAAGAAUGGUUAAUAUGCCCUGCGAUUGGAUUUCUAGACCCUUUUGUAUUUAUCACGUUUCCUUUCUCUCCACAAA